rnacentral:miRNA from 1 species
UGUGUGUGUGUGUGUGUGUGUGUAUAUGUAUAUAUACACAUAUAUACACACAUAUAUACACACACACACACACACACACA